rnacentral:rRNA from 1 species
AGGACGAACGCUGGCGGCGUGCUUAACACAUGCAAGUCGAGCGGAAAGGCCCUUCGGGGUACUCGAGCGGCGAACGGGUGAGUAACACGUGAGCAACCUGCCCCUGGCUCUGGGAUAGCCUCCGGAAACGGGGAUUAAUACCGGAUAUUCACUGUCUCCUGCAUGGGGGGUGGUGGAAAGUUUUUCGGCUAGGGAUGGACUCGCGGCCUAUCAGCUAGUUGGUGAGGUAACGGCCCACCAAGGCGACGACGGGUAGCCGGCCUGAGAGGGCGACCGGCCACACUGGGACUGAGACACGGCCCAGACUCCUACGGGAGGCAGCAGUGGGGAAUAUUGCGCAAUGGGCGAAAGCCUGACGCAGCGACGCCGCGUGGGGGAUGAAGGCCUUCGGGUUGUAAACCCUUUCAGCAGGGACGAAGCGAAAGUGACGGUACCUGCAGAAGAAGCGCCGGCUAACUACGUGCCAGCAGCCGC